UGGGGAAUAUUGGACAAUGGGCGAAAGCCUGAUCCAGCCAUGCCGCGUGUGUGAAGAAGGUCUUCGGAUUGUAAAGCACUUUAAGUUGGGAGGAAGGGCAGUAAGCGAAUACCUUGCUGUUUUGACGUUACCGACAGAAUAAGCACCGGCUAACUCUGUGCCAGCAGCCGCGGUAAUACAGAGGGUGCAAGCGUUAAUCGGAAUUACUGGGCGUAAAGCGCGCGUAGGUGGUUCGUUAAGUUGAAUGUGAAAGCCCCGGGCUCAACCUGGGAACUGCAUCCAAAACUGGCGGGCUAGAGUAGGGCAGAGUGUGGUGGAAUUUCCUGUGUAGCGGUGAAAUGCGUAGAUAUAGGAAGGAACACCAGUGGCGAAGGCGACCACCUGGGCUCAUACUGACACUGAGGUGCGAAAGUGUGGGGAGCAAACAGG
rnacentral:rRNA from 1 species